UUACCUUCAUUGUAGAAGGCUUUUUUGAGCUAAGAUCAAAGUGUAGUACCUGUUCUUAUCAGUUUGAUCACUGAUAGGUCCUUUAUUUAAGUUCUCUUCUGCUAGAGAAGCAGAGUUAUCAGCCACAGACUUCAC
rnacentral:snRNA from 1 species